UUUCCAUGCGCCACAGGAGCAAGUUUUGGAGCGGAUCCGACUUGAAAAUGUUCGAAAAUGUUAGACAGUGACGUCUAACAGUCUCCGCUAAUGAUUAUUUAGAAAUUAAUUAUAUAGUAAAAGGUAAAUAAUAUUAUUUAUUUUAGUUAAAUGUAUAAUUUAUUACCUCUCAUUGGAAAACUAGCCCCUUGCUUAAUAUCAAAAGGAAGAAACAAUAAUAAUUAUUAAUAAAUAAUAAAAUAGUAAAUAUAUAUAUUAUUUAUUUAUUAUGAUAAAAAUUGUCGAUAUGGCUGUUUCCUUCUCGGCAUUUGACGCCCAGAUUAAAAGAAAGAAACGAGACGAAAAAGAAAAAGAAAAAGCAAAAAACAAAGGAAAGGGAAAAAAAAUGCCGGCUGGGAGUGUCGCAGCGGUUAGUUCAGUGUUACUCCCACCGUCUUCCGUCGCUGGAUUUAGAGCGCCUCCGGUGGACUUCAAGCUCUUCGCCUCCUCCUUCUGUCGAUCCGAUUCCAGGAUCCAUCUCUCCAACAAGAUUUGUGCUUCUAUUGGGUGGCCGAGAAUAGGAUUUUAUGGCAGAAAUCACAGGACAAGAAGCUUAAAGUUGAGGGCAGUGGGAAAUUCUAGUGAUGGUCAAACACCAAUUGCUCCCCUUCAAUUUGAAUCCUCAACAGGUCAGUUUCUGUUUCAAAUAAUGCAAACCCACCCACAUCUACUCCCUGCAGCCAUAGAUCAGCAGCUUGAGACGCUUCAAUCUGAUGUUGAUGCUGAAAAAGCAAAAACUCCAGUAUCUUCCCAGGACCUUCUCCUUUACAGGAGAAUUGCAGAAGUUAAAGAGAAGGAAAGGAGGAAGACACUCGAGGAGAUUAUCUACUGCUUGAUCAUACAAAAAUUUAUGGAAAACGAAAUUCAAAUGAUCUCUACUAUAGUAACCUCCCCAGACCCUACAUAUGUAAUGGACUCAUGGCCCAAUCAAGAACAUAAAUUGGAAAAGAUACACUCUCCCGAUGCACUGGAGAUGAUACAAAAUCACUUAUCUCUUAUUCUUGGAGAAAAAGUUGUCGGUCCCCUCAUUACUGUCGCCCAAAUUAGCAAACUAAAGCUCGGUAAGCUUUAUGCAGCCUCCAUCAUGUAUGGGUAUUUUCUCAAAAGGGUUGAUGAAAGAUACCAGCUUGAAAGGAGUAUGAAUACCCUUCCAAAAGCCAAGGGACCGAGAAUGUUUGGUGAAUUGAAACCUAACCCACUAUGGGACUGGGAAUCUAUGGUGCAGAUUUCAACAGACGAGGAUGAUGAUAGUAGUGACUCCAAGGCUUACAGGUUGAGAUCCUAUGUGAUGUACCUAGAUGCAGAGACAUUGCAGAGAUACGCAACCAUACGAUCGAAGGAGGCUAUUUCAUUGAUCGAAAAGCAGACACAGGCCUUGUUUGGGAGGCCAGACAUUACAGUGUUAGAGGACGGAUCUCUCAAAACUCAAAGUGAUGAAGUGGUGGGGAUAACAUUUUCGGGUCUGACAAUGCUGGUCUUGGAAGCAGUUGCACUAGGGACUUUCCUUUGGGAAGCUGAGACCUACGUUGAAUCAAAGUACCACUUCGUCUCAAAUUGAAUUGGGUGACAACAUUAUGGUUGUUAUUCCGAGCAAGGACUCAUUCUGGGAGAGUUUUCAUCAGUACAACUGAUCUUCACUGGAGAAAAGGAGGGAGAACUAAUCAUGUUUAAAGACAGAUUUGCUACUCCAUGUUCCCAAGCUUACCUCCAUCCCCCAUGUUCAUCUUUUGGGGGCAUUUUUCUCUACUUGAUGUGGACUGCUAUGCGAUACAUGUUCAGUAGUUGGCUGAUACCUUCAACGACACAAGUUGAGCAAGGGAGCAUGUUGGUUGCUGCGACGAUAUAUGCAUGUUCAUGCUGAUAGAUUCUGACUCACUUAAGCCUCGUGCUAUGACCCACAUGUAUAUGGUUUAAGGGAAUCAUAUCAUAUGGAAUGUGAUGAAGCCAGGCCAAUUUGCAAAAAACAAAACAAAAAAAAAGGUGAAUAAAUGAGCAAGGAAUUAGUUAAAGAAGUAACUCA